rnacentral:rRNA from 1 species
AGAGUUUGAUUAUGGCUCAGGAUGAACGCUGGCGGCGUGCUUAACACAUGCAAGUCGAACGAGGUCCAACCUUCGGGUGAAGACCGAGUGGCGAACGGGUGAGUAACACGUGGGGAACCUGCCCUUCUCUCUUGGAUAACCUCGGGAAACCGAAGCUAAUACCGGAUACUCCUUGCGGACCGCAUGGUCUGCUCGGGAAAGCUCCGGCGGAGAAGGAUGGCCCCGCGGCCCAUUAGCUUGUUGGUGGGGUAACGGCCCACCAAGGCGACGAUGGGUAGCCGAGCUGAGAGGCUGAUCGGCCACACUGGGACUGAGACACGGCCCAGACUCCUACGGGAGGCAGCAGUGGGGAAUCUUGCGCAAUGGGCGUAAGCCUGACGCAGCAACGCCGCGUGCGGGAUGAAGGCUCUCGGGUCGUAAACCGCUUUCAGCAGGGAUGAAAAUGACAGUACCUGCAGAAGAAGCCCCGGCUAAAUACGUGCCAGCAGCCGCGGUAAUACGUAUGGGGCAAGCGUUAUCCGGAUUCAUUGGGCGUAAAGCGCGCGUAGGCGGCUUGUUAAGUCAGGCGUGAAAUCCGGGGGCUCAACCCGCGGCUUGCGUCUGAAACUGGCAGGCUUGAGUCUGGUAGAGGAAAGUGGAAUUCCUGGUGUAGCGGUGAAAUGCGCAGAUAUCAGGAGGAACACCAGUGGCGAAGGCGGCUUUCUGGGCCACGACUGACGCUGAGGCGCGAAAGCUAGGGGAGCGAACAGGAUUAGAUACCCUGGUAGUC